AUUCUCCCAGCUCCAUCGGCUGCCAACCUAGGGCCAUCGUCUGCCUCCAUCACCCCUCCGCCCGCCCGCCUACCCACCCAAUCCCAAACGGGUGCUGGAUCAGGUGCUGAAUCCGGCUGCCUCCUCGGGUACCAGUCACUGUGCAUUGCUGUGUGUCUGCCACCGCUGCCUGGCACUCAUGGGGCCGUGUGUGUGUGUAUGUGUGUGUGCGCGCAUGUACAUGUACGCAUAAGCGUGUGCUGUAUGUGAGCCUCCUGGGCAUGGGUGGGGGUUGGCAUUGCGGUUGCCAAUCUAGUGUACAACCAGAAGGACAGAGGGAUGGAGUGGAAGAAGGAGGGGAGAGGCUUGGGGUCUGGGAGGGGAGAAGAGGGUGCAUGAGUUGCUUCAUGCUGCCUGCUUACAGGCAUUGGCAUUGUAGCUGCCACCCUUGUGCCCACGGAGAUGGGAGGAGGCGAGUGGAGGGCGCAGCGGCAGGAGUCCUGUGCUCUGGGAGGAAGGCUUUGUACAUGGGAGCUGUUGGCAUCACAUCUGUCAGGCCGGUGCCCAGAACUGGGGCAAUGGAGACUGGGG
rnacentral:lncRNA from 10 species